CGGGGCGUAGCGCAGCUCGGUAGCGCGCACCGUUCGGGUCGGUGAGGUCGUGGGUUCAAAUCCCGCCGCCCCGA
rnacentral:tRNA from 1 species